rnacentral:rRNA from 1 species
UCGGGAAUUUUGGGCAAUGGGCGAAAGCCUGACCCAGCAACGCCGCGUGAAGGAUGAAGUAUUUCGGUAUGUAAACUUCGAAAGAAUAGGAAGAAUCAAUGACGGUACUAUUUAUAAGGUCCGGCUAACUACGUGCCAGCAGCCGCGGUAAUACGUAGGGACCAAGCGUUGUUCGGAUUUACUGGGCGUAAAGGGCGCGUAGGCGGUGUGUCAAGUCAGUUGUGAAAUCUCCGAGCUUAACUCGGAACGGUCAACUGAUACUGUCACACUAGAGUACAGAAGGGGCAAUCGGAAUUCUUGGUGUAGCGGUGAAAUGCGUAGAUAUCAAGAGGAACACCUGAGGCGAAGGCGGGUUGCUGGGCUGAUACUGACGCUGAGGCGCGAAAGCUAGGGUAGCAAACGGGAUUAGAUACCCUUGUAGUCCCUGAGCGGGCUGGCAAGGCGCAU